UACGUAGGGGGCUAGCGUUUUCCGGAAUCAUUGGGCGUAAAGCGCGUGUAGGCGGCCCGAUAAGUCCGCUGUGAAAGUCCAGGGCUCAACCCUGGGAUGCCGGUGGAUACUGUCGGGCUCGAGUCCGGAAGAGGCGAGUGGAAUUCCUGGUGUAGCGGUGAAAUGCGCAGAUAUCAGGAGGAACACCAAUGGCGAAGGCAGCUCGCUGGGACGUGACUGACGCUGAGACGCGAAAGCGUGGGGAGCAAACAGG
rnacentral:rRNA from 1 species